UACGUAGGGUGCAAGCGUUGUCCGGAAUUAUUGGGCGUAAAGAGCUCGUAGGCGGUCUGUCGCGUCGGCUGUGAAAACCCGGGGCUCAACCCCGGGCCUGCAGUCGAUACGGGCAGACUAGAGUGCGGUAGGGGAGACUGGAAUUCCUGGUGUAGGCGGUGAAAUGCGCAGAUAUCAGGAGGAACACCGAGUGGCGAAGGCAGCCCC
rnacentral:rRNA from 1 species